rnacentral:rRNA from 1 species
UACAGAGGGUGCAAGCGUUGUUCGGAAUCAUUGGGCGUAAAGGGCGUGUAGGCGGUUUGUUAAGUCAUGUGUGAAAUCCCUCGGCUCAACCGGGGAACGACGCAUGAAACUGGCAAGCUAGAGUACCAAAGAGGGUGGUGGAAUUCCCGGUGUAGCGGCGAAAUGCGUAGAUAUCGGGAGGAACAUCAGUGGCGAAGGCGACCACCUGGCCCAACACUGACGCUGAGGUGCGAAAGCGUGGGUAGCAAACAGG